AUUUAUAUAGUUUAAAAAACAUUACAUUUUCAUUGUAAAAUUAAGAAAUUUUCUUUUCUUUGUAAAUA
rnacentral:tRNA from 1 species